AAACGGGUGAGUAACACGUAUGCAAUCUACCUCUAACUGGGGCACAACUUUGGGAAACUGAAGCUAAUUCCCCGUAACAAUAUGGAAUCGCAUGGUUCUGUAUUUAUAGUUCCGACGGUUAGAGAUGAGCGUGCGUCCGAUUAGAUAGUUGGCGGGGUAACGGCCCACCAAGUCUGCGAUCGGUAGCUGAUGUGAGAGCAUGAUCAGCCACACGGGCACUGAGACACGGGCCCGACUCCUACGGGAGGCAGCAGUAGGGAAUAUUGGGCAAUGGAGGCAACUCUGACCCAGCCAUGCCGCGUGAAGGAUGAAUGUCCUAUGGAUUGUAAACUUCUUUUGUUAGGGACGAAACCCCCGGAUUCAUCCGGGGCUGACGGUACCUAAAGAAUAAGCACCGGCUAACUCCGUGCCAGCAGCCGCGGUAAUACGGAGGGUGCAAGCGUUAUCCGGAUUCACUGGGUUUAAAGGGUGCGUAGGUGGAUUAGUAAGUCAGUGGUGAAAGCCCCGAGCUCAACUUGGGAAUUGCCAUUGAUACUGCUAGUCUUGAGUUCGGUUGAGGUAGGCGGAAUAAGUCAUGUAGCGGUGAAAUGCUUAGAUAUGACUUAGAACACCGAUUGCGAAGGCAGCUUACCAAGCCGACACUGACACUGAGGCACGAAAGCGUGGGGAUCAAACAGGAUUAGAUACCCUGGUAGUCCACGCCCUAAACGAUGAUCAUUCGACAUUAGCGAUAUACUGUUAGUGUCCAAGCGAAAGCGUUAAAUGAUCCACCUGGGGAGUACGCCCGCAAGGGUGAAACUCAAAGUAAUUGAC
rnacentral:rRNA from 1 species